rnacentral:lncRNA from 1 species
CCACAUACAAAGUAGAUGAACAUAUAGCAACAAGAAAAUAGUAAUCACAGAGUACUAAUUCUCAUCACACGUGUAUGGAACAAUAGAAAGAAAUUGAAUACAGGGAAUACUACACCACUUAUUCUAAUAAUAGCACACUGUGGCUCCGUAUUGGGUCUCCUCCGUCAAGUGUCGUAUAUAAGUAUCCCAUCAAUUAUGUGUUGCCGGUGGUUUGCACUUCGGAGGCGGCUUCGGUUUCGGUUCAGGUUUAGGCUUGGGCUCCGGCUUUGGUUCGGGUUUCGGCAUCGGCUCGGGCUUAGGACCUGGCUUUGGUUUGGAGCAGGGCUCGGGCUUUGGUUUUGGCAUUGGCUUGGGCUUGGGUUCUGGUUCGGGCUUCUCUCCGGGCUUUUGUUUAGGCUUUGGUUUGGGUUUUGGCAUCGGUUCAGGUUUGCAGGGCUCUGGCUCUGGUUGUGGCGCAGGUUUGGACAUUGGCUCUGGUUGUGGCGCAGGUUUGGACAUUGGCUCUGCUUUGGGUUCUGGCUUUGGCUCUAGCUCUGCAAAAUUCUCGACAGCAGCAAGGCCUCGGCCAGCCGCAACAACUUGGUUGAGAGUGGAGGCUGCAACUACCCCGAUGAGGAGCACGGCGAGGAGGCGAUGCCUCGCCAUUGCUGCCUACUUCUUGUGCUUGCAAGUUGUGUUGCACCUGUUGUGGUUUGUGUGUGUUUGUGUAUGUUGUGUGGAGAAUGGAGAUACAUAUGGUGUGGUUUUAUAGGCAGGGUGAAACAAAGCAGAUCUAGAUGCUGCAUUAAUUAACAUUGCAGCUAGCUAGCUGGAGUGACAAGUAGUACUGCGUAACAUGGCAAUGGAGCUAUAUUGGUCGAUUAGUUGAUUACAAAUGAAGCAACCAACGUAGCUAGAGGUGUUAAUAAGCACAGCUGGAUUUUGCGUGUGUGUCUCUAUGUGAUGAUAGUGGGGUGAGUAACAAUAUUUUUACUCUAUUGGUUGGCCUCCUGGUAGUAAUAGAAUCAUGUUAGUUGCCUUGUCAGUCCUGUUCACACGUCCAUGUGACCGGCCAUCAUUUAGAAAUCAAGAUCGAUGCUGUACACGUUAGUGCCAUUACAAAGUAGAAAAAGAAAAAGAAAAAAGCAACCGCUUCAGUUCAAUUCACAAUUCCAAGUUUUUGCGCACUCGUGUUUUCUCAAGCACUCUAUCUAGCCCGGUAUAGUUGGGCAGUUUCAGAAUUGUAGAUACCAAUGAGGAUUUUAUCAUGCUUAUUGUCUCAAAUUAUUAAAUCUUAUAACUCUCUGAUAAGCUAGGUUAUUUUGACGUUGCAUGCCCCUCAUUCUCCAGUCUCAUGCAUGCGUGUGCUUUAGACUUUAGUUAUGCAUGUAUGAUUUUCCAAAAAGGGUUUCAUGGAGACGGAGCUCCAAAACGAACUGGGUUGGUGAGUUUAGCACCGCCAUAUAUUCUGAUAGAGUAAGGAUUAUAUUGUGGUAAUGUUCUUUCCCUCCGUUUGUCAUAUUUUGAAUCAAGAGGGUUUCAUUGUAAUUCUUAGUUAUAGGAGUUAUUUUAUAAUUUCUUGUAUCUAUGAUCGAAGCAUUGUAUCUAUGAUUUUGUUGAGUUUGAAUAAAGUCACAUGCCCUUCUGAGCCACGCGGAAUACCGCACCACCAAUCGCGCUCACGCUUGAGACCGCCGUCGCCGGUGGCUGAUCUCCCUCCUCUGGUCGCCUCCGGCCCAGCCAAGUACAGAUCCGGGACCCUCCCGACGUCCUCUCUCCAGCCAUCCCGAAGUUUGGCACCGUCUUCACCGGUUCUCUCCCCGCUGAGCGGCUCGAGUUGGGCCCUCCACCUCUCCCGGUCCCGGUCACGUGCGGCUGCGCGGCCGCAUCGGGGCGCCCCUGUGGGCCCGAGCAAGCCCCCUGCGCCUUUCUAUUCUCUCGCCUCCGCCGAAGCCGUCGCGGGGCAAAAUCCUGGCAGCAGGACCCCUCGGUCAUCGUUCUCGAGCGUGGGGGCGGCGCUACUCCAGGCGGUGAUGCUCCGGUGUCAGGGGAUCCUUCCUUGGCUUGUGGAGCUGCGGUGGCGGCGGUGAGCCACAAUUUUGGAUGGCGGCGCGGCGCCGUCGUUUAGGCCGGUGUCUCCGGUGGUCGUGGAGGUGCUGGUCGUCCGGUUAGAGGUGACGAGGUCAUGGCUGAUGCUGGAGGAUGUGGCUGGAGCUGAUGCGGGGUGUGCCGUUGCUACUACGGGGCGGAUCUAGCAGGCUUGCCGUGGUGGGCGCCAGAUCCGACCGGUUUGGCUGGCUCCGGCUCGCCGGCUUUUGCAGGCGGUGAGGUUGAUGGCUCCUGCGUGAGGGUGGCGUCGUCGUCGCGUAGGAGGUGUGUGGUACAGCGGGCUUGCAGACCAGUGGUGAUGCGCCACCGGUUGCAUGUGUGGGGGGGGGGGCUCAGCGAGGUGGCUCCAGGCGAAAUCCUAGACGGCACGACGUCCGUGAACGUCGUUUUUCCUCCUUGGGGGUCGUUGUGGAGCCCUUCCUUGCCCAACACCUUCGAACCAUGGACGCCCCCCCUUGGGGGCGUUGCCUUGAGGGUCACUGGUCUCUUCCGUGCUUUCCGGAGCUGGACACACACGACAUCGGGGUCGGCAGGUACCCGUCUGGCGAUGUGGUUGGCGCGACUUCUUGUGUGGUGACGAUGGCGGCUUCAAGCGAAGUUGGUUUGCUGUUGAGUUUUGGUAGUCGGUCUCAUCCCGCGUGUUCGAGGGGUUGCCGCGCCUCACUUUGUCUUCCUGGAGUCGGAGCUGCUGAGGCGGGGCCUUGCGACGACGAUGACGCGAGGCGGGUGGUCGAUUGUGGCGCUGGCUCGGCUCAGGCUCAGUUGUUUUCUCCUACAAUGCUCGUCGACAGAGUUGGAACUGCUUGGUAGUUGGCGUGUGCGGUUGACUGUUUGGCAGUGGCCGGCAUGGGCCUCGGUGUUUGCUUGUGGUGAGGGCUGUUUUGAUGGUCAUCGAUGAUGUAGUCGGAGUCGCCCUUGUGUAGGUGUGAUGAUGAUGACACCGGGUUGCAGCCUCGACGGUGUUCUCUCUUCGGCGACGUGUGUGCGUUCUUAUGUGGGUUGUCACGUCGCCAUGCGUAUCCUGUAUGGACGUGGUGUAGCAGGUUUCACUCGGUUUUUCGUUAAUUAACCCAGCAAUUCUCUUUUUCUUAAUUAAUGGGAUGAGACAAUGCUUUUGCCUGCGUUUAAAAAAACACUAGCUAGCCGACAGUUUGUUCAAUGCGUGCUGUCAUUUUGCACAAAUGCCUAUGUCUCUACCUACUGUGAGGCGCUCACUUGUUGGGAUGUGGUGCGGGCUGUGGUCCGGUUGCGGUGGAGGAGUAACAUUAGUUUGUUUCGUGCAAUUUUCAAAACAUUUCGUCGGAGUUUUUUUCCUGUUUUCUUUAUUGGGUUUCUUUUUUUUCAUUUUCCCUUUUACUUUUUCUGUUCAUUUAUUUCAUGUAUUGUUUUGUAUUUUAUUUUUCCAUAUUUCAAAUACAGCUUGAUUUUUUUUUCAAAAUAGUAAACAUUUUAAAGUAACCAUAGAAUAUUUUCUAAUACAUGUUUGAACGUUUUAUAAGUACAUGGUGAACAAUUUUUAUAUACAAUGAAUAUUUCUCUAAAAACUGCAAGAACACAUUCUGUUUAUUUAAUGAACAUUUUUAUAUUGCCAUGACCAAUUUUAUAAACAUGCGAAAAAAAUUAAAAUGUAGUGUUUUUUUGGAACAAUGCGAAUAUGAAUUUUAAAACUCUGGAAUAAUUUUUAAGACAAGUUGACAUUUUUUAUUUUUUUACGAGAAAACUUCGGAUGUAUUUAUCCAUUGUCAUGUUAGUAUAAGAAUACCAGAACUAACAUAACUUACAUUCAGAUCCAUAGACCAUCUAACGAUGUCUACAAUCACUUGAUCAAGCCGAAAGUGCACCAUGAUCCUCACUCCUCCCUCAUCGGAGUCGGACAAUGUCCAGUCAUGUUUUUUUUACAAACUGUUAAUCAUGUAUGAAUUUUUCUAUUGUGUAUUUCAAAAUUAUCAUGGAUUUUUAAAAAAUAUUGUGCAUUUUUAGAAAAACUGUUAUUUCAAAGGUUCAUCAUGUAUGAAAAGAAAUCUUCAUCAUAAAUUGUUCAAAUUGUCCACAGUGUAUAAAUUCAGAAAAAUAUGAAGACUUUUUAAUUCUAUGUGUAUUUGAAAAAUGUUUAAUAUUUUGAAACGUUUUAUAAAUACACGAUGAAUAUUUUUAAGUAUAUUAACAGCUAUUAUACUGCAUGAUCACCUAUCAAUAGUACAAACCCAUAUAUUUUAUACGCGAUGAAAAAAUCUGUUAAUAAUAAUUUUCAUGGUGCCUUUUCUUGGAAAUCUUGACCUAGGGUGUAGUUACCUUUCACACAUAUCCGAUAUAUAUUUAAGUAAGUCAUCCCAUUUAAAUGCACAUGCAUGUCAAUCACAUUAUGAAGGGUAUGCAACCAAUAAACUUCCACUUACCACUUUUCAUCACAUGCAGGUCCUCGAUAUCAUCAAGCGUGCAUGUAAUCAUUCGACGUUUCACUUCUCAUCAUAUGCAAGUUCCACAUCAUCAAACACAUGAAAGCUCUUCACCUCAUUAUUUUUUACUAUUUAUUUUUUAGCAACAAAUAAUUGAACUUGAAGGUCACAAGAAAAUAUAUUAUGCGUGCACCCUCUAGUUACAUCUAGGUUUUCUAUUGCCAUAUGCUGAGAAUGUUGUGUGGUAUUAUUCCUACAUAUGCUAUUUUUCAUAAUUUCAUUGCUAUAAAUUUUCGUGACAAUGUGUGUGACGUUUACCUAGUAGUAGCAGAGCCAGCUUACUCACACAGCCUGGGCAUAAAUAUAACAGCGUGCCUAGAACUUAUCUAGACCAGAUAUAAUUUAGUCGCAUUCAUCUAGAAAAUCAAAACAGAUACAAAGUAGUACUACAACUCACGUCGGCACACGCACAUCUUAUAGUCACAUCCAAUGACUAUAAAAGAUGAACGAGACAUAACUAAAAUUCAGUUAGAUGAGUUUUAGCAAAACCGUAAAUAUAACGCACUCGGUCGGGACUUACUUCGUAGGUGAAGGGUAGAGAAGAAGGCCACUGUCUUGCGUGUGAGUGCACUUUAUACAUCUAGAACACCAGACACGUAUACAUAUGUGAUAUGUCUGCUGCUAGGAAGUCAUUCUCUUCUCUUUUGUUGACAUUAGCUUUCCCCCCAAAAAAGACCAUAUAAUAUGAAACAAUCACAUAGAGAGAAAAUAACAGGGACUGCACCCCAUAGAGAAAACAACAUAGACUGCAGUCCACUGACAAAAUAGCUCAUUUAUGUUUUGUUGUUUGGAAAAGGAGGUUCAAACCCCCGGCCUCUGCAUCAAUCGAUGCAUACGGUAGCUCAUUUAUGUGAAUACAAUCAUGCGUAGAUACUCCAAAGAACAACAAGUCGAGUCACAAUGUCCCAUACAAAGUAGAUGAACAUAUACCAACAAGCAAAUACUAGUAAUUACAGAGUACUAGUACUCAUCACGCGUAUAUGGAAAAAUAGAAUGAAAUGGAAUACAGGGAAUACUACUACACCACUUAUUCUAGAAAUAGCACAGUGGGGCUUGGUACGGGGUCUCCUCCUCCAUCAACUCUCAUAUAUAAGUAUCCCAUCAGUCGUGAGCUGCCGGUGGUUUGCACUUCGGAGGUGGUUCAGGUUUAGGCUCGGGCUCCGGCUUUGGUUCGGGUUUCGGCAUCGGCUCGGGCUUAGGAUCUGGCUUUGGUUUGGAGCAGGGCUCAGGCUUUGGUUUUGGCAUUGGCUUGGGCUUGGGUUCUGGUUCGGGCUUCUCUCCAGGCUUUUCUUCAGGCUUUGGUUUCGGCAUCGGUUCAGGUUUGCAGGGCUCUGGCUCUGGUUGUGGUGUAGGUUUGGACAUUGGCUCUGGUUUGGGUUCUGGCUUUGGCUCUAUCUCUGCAAAAAUUUCGACAGCAGGAAGGCCUCGGUCAGCCGCGGCAGCUUGGUUGAGAGUGGAGGCUGCAACUACCCCAAUGAGGAUCAUGGCGAGGAGGCGAUGCCUCGCCAUUGCUGCCUACUUCUUGUGCUUGCAGCUAGUGUUGCACACCUGCUGUGCUUUGUGUGUGGUUGUGUGUGUUGUGUGGAGAACUGGAGAUACAUAUUGUGUGGUUUUAUAG